rnacentral:rRNA from 1 species
CCUACGGGAGGCAGCAGUGGGGGAUAUUGCACAAUGCGGGGAACACUGAUGCAGCGACGCCGCGUGGGUGAAGAAGCGCCUCGGCGCGUAAAGCCCUGUCAGCAGGGAAGAAAAUGACUGUACGUGAAGGAGAAGCCCCUGCUAACUACGUGCCAGCCGCCGCGGUAAUACGUAGGGGGCAAGCGUUAUCCGGAUUUACUGGGUGUAAAGGGGGCGCAGACGGCGGUGCAAGCCAGGAGUGAACGCCUGGGGCCCAACCUCGGGACUGCGAUUGGAGCUGCGUGGCUGGAGUGCAGGAGGGGCAGGCGGAAUUCGUGGUGUAGCGGUGAAAUGCUUAGAUAUCACGAAGAACUCCGAUUGCGAAGGCAGCUUACUAACCGGCCACUGACAGUGAUGCUCGAAAGUGUGGGUAGCAAACAGGAUUAGAUACCCGAGUAGUC